rnacentral:rRNA from 1 species
GAUGAACGCUAGCUACAGGCUUAACACAUGCAAGUCGAGGGACCGGCGCACGGGUGAGUAACACGUAUCCAACCUGCCCUUUACUCGGGGAUAGCCUUUCGUAAGAAAGAUUAAUACCCGAUAUAAUGGAUGGGGAUGCGUUCCAUUAGGUUGUUGGUGAGGUAACGGCCGACCAAGCCGUCGAUGGAUAGGGGUGCUGAGAGGAAUGGCCCCCAGAUUGGAACUGAGACACGUUGCAAACUCAUACGGGAGGAAGCAGUGAGGAAGUUUGGUCAAUGGGCGUUAGCAUGAACCAGCCAAGUAGCGUGAAGGAUGAAGGCUUAUGGGUCGUAGACUUCUUUUAUAUAAGAAUAUGUAUUAUAUGAAUAAGGAUCGGCUAACUCCGUGCCAGCAGCCGCGGUAAUUC